rnacentral:lncRNA from 1 species
AUGCUUUAUAACCUUGACCAGAAGAGUGCAUUUUGCUCCCAAGAAUUUGGUCUACGGAGCACUUGCACUUUAGCGGUCCCUAUAAUAAUAGUAGUUAAAAAUGUCAUGAAAAAUAAAAGUUAUACGGGGUGACUUUAUUUUUAGAUGUUUGGGGGCUGCUGCCCCACACUCCCGCUUUCUCCAACGCCACAAUUUACUGCGCAUACGUAUCGUAAACUUCCAGGGACCGCUAAAGUGCAUUCUACUCUAAGAUAUUGGUAUGUAUUAAAGUCAUCAUGACAAUUAAAUGAAAUUUUAAAAUUUUGUGCAUUUUGUGAAGUAGGCUAAAAUUGCCAUAUUUUUAAUAUUAAAGAUAUCAUAGCAUUUAGAUUGCAUUUUGUGAAGAUUUAUGUAAAAAUACUAGUAUGUAUUACAGUCUUCAUUGGACUUACAUUGCAUUUUGAGAAGAAGGCUAAUUAACUGUGUAAAAAUACUGGUAUGUGUUGAAGAUAUCGCGGCAAUUCGAUUGCAAUUAAUGCAGCAGCCUGAAGAUUAAAGUGAAAAUACUGGUAUGUAAUACAGCCACAGGUGCCGUUAGAUUGCAUUAUGUGCAAUAGGGCAAUAUACUGGUAUGUUUCAUAUGAUAGUCAUCAUAUGCAACUAGAUUCAUUCUGCGAAGUAGGCUAAAGAUUUAUAUAAAGAUACAGGUAUGUAGUACAGUCAUUUUUGUCAUUAGAUUGCAUUUUGUGCUGUUGGCUAAAUGUUUCAUAUCAUAGUCACCGUGGCCAGUAGAUUUCAUUUUGUGAAGUGAGCUUAACAUUUAUUUGAAAAUACUAAUAUGUAUUAUCGUCAUCAUGUCAAGUGGAUUGCUUCUUGUGAAGCUGGUUAAAGAUGUAUGAAAAUUAUUUGUAUGUUUGAUGGUCAUUUUGGCAUUUAGAUCUCAUUUUAAGUAGGUCUACUUUCAUUAUGAUUCAUGUUUUCAGUUGUCAUUUAGAACUGAUGUCUCCCCAAAAUUAAGGGAGAGACAUUUUGUCUUUUGUGCAGUCUACUCAAACUGAAAAUUGGUAAGAUGUAUAUUUUACCCCUUAAACGAUUUUCACAAAUGUUUGACAUAAUGAGAAUAUAAUUAUCGGUCGUGUCGGUCAAGUCUAAGAUCACACAGAGAGAUCAAAGGGCAAAUAUAGACAGUAUUUUGUUUCCGCUCAGUAUCUAUAUAUCUUUUCGAAGGAUCUUUUUAUCCGUUGAGUAACUUGCUUAUUAUUUUAUUUGACACAAAAUAUUUACCAAAUCAGAAAAAACGAGACGAUACUGCUGACGCAACUUUCAGUCAUUUUAAUUUAAGAUCAAGACUGAGUGAGCCCAACGGCCAAAAAGGCAGUACAGUGUAUAAUAUGUUCUCUCCACAUCUUUUAGGCCACUUUAAGGUCUGUCAAAUAUCAUGGCACAAUGGUUUGUAACAACAAGACGAUAUGCAGAAUGCAGCUCCACUGUACGAUCCCAUGAAGUGGUGUUACGAAGGACUAGCUUGCUCCAUGCCCCUAUAGACAACCUUCCUUCGUUAAUCAAAGUCAAUGGACUUUAGUCGUCAAAUCGUCCAAAGGAACAUUCCAGUCUUCCUGCUGGGAUAACUUUGCGAGUAAAAAUAAAGCAAGUAGAACCAUCAUACAGGGACAAGGAGAGAUUAUGGCCACUCGGCAGUGGUAUCAUUCUAAUGUUUUUGUUCAUGAACGUUGUCGUAUCAAAAUAAUUAUUUUAAAGUGAUUUUUCCAUCGUGUUUUUCCUGUGUUACUGUAGUGUAAAAUAUGUAAAGCUUCUGCAAAUGUGUAUACUCGUGUGGCUAAUCUUCCUGUUUUAAAUUUCGUAGUGCCACUUUUUAUUGGUUUUGAGCUCGUAGUUUAUCCACACGUCUCUUUCAUUGUGUAUACCGACCUAUUCUAGUGACUAUGUGACACAUGAAAGAAGACGUACACAAUUUUAUAGUAAAUGUUUGUAAUAAACACCAGUAAAUCAGGGUUUAAAAGUAUUCUUAAAAUGACAAGAGUAGAUUUCCUAUCAAUUGGAAUACGUUAUAAUUUUUAAUAAGACUUUCACAAUGUAAUUUUCUAUGUUCUUUAUUCAAUUAAAGUGAUGUUUUCACUCAUAUUUGACUUUUGGAACCACGAUAUCCUGGUAUCAUGAGCAAAAGCUUAGAGUAACGGACAGAUGUUCUAACGAAAUGAUGCCUACCAGCAGUACAGCAGACCCCCACUGGUGUGGGAUAAUCAUAGUAUGUAACCACAACCUUUGAACGUUUAAAACAUAACACAAAAAUAUUUGACGCAAACAUCUACAAGAAGACAUAUAAUUCCCAUUUUUGAGGAAACAUUUACAAAAGUAUAUAGCUCUAAUUUUUGACAAAAUCUAUCACAUUGAAUUGCAAGUUACCUAUUUAUGAACGUACGAAGAUUUAUAAAAUCCAAAGUGCAUGAAACGUUCAAGUAUAAAUAUUUUCAGACUU